GACGAACGCCGGCGGCGUGCUUAACACAUGCAAGUCGAACGGAAAGGCCCUGCUUUUGUGGGGUGCUCGAGUGGCGAACGGGUGAGUAACACGUGAGUAACCUGCCCUUGACUUUGGGAUAACUUCAGGAAACUGGGGCUAAUACCGGAUAGGAGCUCCUGCUGCAUGGUGGGGGUUGGAAAGUUUCGGCGGUUGGGGAUGGACUCGCGGCUUAUCAGCUUGUUGGUGGGGUAGUGGCUUACCAAGGCUUUGACGGGUAGCCGGCCUGAGAGGGUGACCGGCCACAUUGGGACUGAGAUACGGCCCAGACUCCUACGGGAGGCAGCAGUGGGGAAUAUUGCACAAUGGGCGGAAGCCUGAUGCAGCAACGCCGCGUGCGGGAUGACGGCCUUCGGGUUGUAAACCGCUUUCGCCUGUGACGAAGCGUGAGUGACGGUAAUGGGUAAAGAAGCACCGGCUAACUACGUGCCAGCAGCCGCGGUGAUACGUAGGGUGCGAGCGUUGUCCGGAUUUAUUGGGCGUAAAGGGCUCGUAGGUGGUUGAUCGCGUCGGAAGUGUAAUCUUGGGGCUUAACCCUGAGCGUGCUUUCGAUACGGGUUGACUUGAGGAAGGUAGGGGAGAAUGGAAUUCCUGGUGGAGCGGUGGAAUGCGCAGAUAUCAGGAGGAACACCAGUGGCGAAGGCGGUUCUCUGGGCCUUUCCUGACGCUGAGGAGCGAAAGCGUGGGGAGCGAACAGGCUUAGAUACCCUGGUAGUCCACGCUGUAAACGGUGGGUACUAGGUGUGGGGUCCAUUCCACGGGUUCCGUGCCGUAGCUAACGCUUUAAGUACCCCGCCUGGGGAGUACGGCCGCAAGGCUAAAACUCAAAGGAAUCGACGGGGCCCCGCACAAGCGGCGGAGCAUGCGGAUUAAUUCGAUGCAACGCGUAGAACCUUACCUGGGUUUGACAUGGAUCGGGAGUGCUCAGAGAUGGGUGUGCCUCUUUUGGGGUCGGUUCACAGGUGGUGCAUGGCUGUCGUCAGCUCGUGUCGUGAGAUGUUGGGUUAAGUCCCGCAACGAGCGCAACCCUUGUUCACUGUUGCCAGCACGUUAUGGUGGGGACUCAGUGGAGACCGCCGGGGUCAACUCGGAGGAAGGUGGGGAUGACGUCAAGUCAUCAUGCCCCUUAUGUCCAGGGCUUCACGCAUGCUACAAUGGCUGGUACAGAGAGUGGCGAGCCUGUGAGGGUGAGCGAAUCUCGGAAAGCCGGUCUCAGUUCGGAUUGGGGUCUGCAACUCGACCUCAUGAAGUCGGAGUCGCUAGUAAUCGCAGAUCAGCAACGCUGCGGUGAAUACGUUCCCGGG
rnacentral:rRNA from 1 species